AUCUGUUAUUAUCUCGCUCUGAAACACGAAGGAGUGUCAGAGGUUGUUCUUUUGGAUCAUCCAGUGCAAAACCUUGAUGCAAGACCAUAAAUGAAAGUUUGAACUGUGAAGACAUGGACCUGUCCAGAGUCUACCCCGCCCCUCCAACAGUGACUGCUGGAUAUGGGCACCAGUGACCUCCAUGACCCUGAAAUGAAGAAAUGGGUAAAAGAUAAUGGUUCCCGCCUCCAAUCUAGGUUGCCUGGAAGCAGAUUGAGCCCAGCUGCACCUACCUCAGCUGAUGAUGCCUGGAGCUUUGAGACUUGGACUUUCACUGGAACAUCAACURCCUUAUGUUGUCCUGAAGCUCCUGUGAAGUCAUCAUCCUGUGAAGUUCCUGAAAGUUACACUGAGGUACUCACCUGCUGCCUUCCCUGCCAUCCCGGAACCAUACUCAACUGCUUCCUCUCCUCUCCUGGAAAGUCCUCUCACCUGUCAUGAGMUCUGGUCCUGUCCUGAACUCAACUUAGCUGUUAACUUUUACUGACGAUCCUCCUGAGAGAAAGUUCAGAAGCUAUCCAGGACUUGCUGUAAAUCGCCAAUGAGGAAGUAAAUGAAUUCUCUGCAUUUUCCCCAUCACACAUGCGGAACAGAGGGCUCCCAUACGUACUAUAUUAGGUGCCUGGGGAGCAGCUGGAAGGUUAAGGGCCUUGCUCGAGGGCCCACAGUGGGACAAAUAAGGGUGGAGGCAGAUGGUUGUAGUUCCUGCUUGGGACCAAAAUGUUGCAUAAAAACUUAGGAGAAAAUCAUUUGAGUGCAAAAAACUGAUGAACAGUUUCUAAUCUAAAUAUGUUAAGUUUGUGUUUGGUAUUCUUUUUACUGUUCUAAUGUGUUGCUCCAAUUUUAAAUGAAAAUCCAGUACCAAGAUAUUUUUCCACUUAAAUCUUUAUUGGUGCUUUUUAACAAAUUUUUAAAACAGUAAUUGAACAGAAGAAAAAAAACCCACAAAAGUAGUUGUGUUCAAAGAUAUUUUACCUCAGAAAGUUCAAAACAUUGAGCGCUGAGCUUCAAAUUUWAAGCGUCAUUUUUCCAAAAUUAAGUCCUUGAGCAAACAGGCAAAAGAAAACAAACUGUUUUUUUUUAAACAUUAAGAUAUGACUUUUCAGACUUUUCAUUUUAAGAGCAUUUGGUUUUUCUAACUAAUAAMUUCUAUUAAGUCUAAUGACUUCUAUUAAGGCCCUUGGUGUGAAAGGUCAGUUUGCAUCAUUGGAUUUAUUGAAUGACUAAAUUUACUCUCAUUUCUUUUUUCUCCUGAAUUAGGCACCAUGUUUGAUUGAACGUGUAAUUUGAACAAUUCUCCCAUGAGAACAUCUCUUUAUUUGAUAUCUAAACCUGUGUGUGUGUGUGUGUGUGUGUGUGUGUGUGUGNGUGUGUGUGUGUGUGUGUGUGUGUGUGUGUGUGUUCGAUGAAAGCCAAAGUCUCUAUUGUCAAGAUUAAGAAGCAUUGGAAAGAGGAUCUCCGUAUUGAUUUACUUCAUGCAGAGUGAGACAGGAACUCACAAUAAAACAAUCCUGUGCAAUUAAUAGAAAACACAAACCGAUUCAGUUUGCUGUGGUCCAGUGCCUGCAWUACUCAGAACACAGGCUGUGUGAGAUUUGUUUCUCUGAUUUACGUGACCGGUGUCAGUAGAGAGGACACUGACCAGUGCUUUACCCUAGACUCAGGUUUAAGAAAACUCACUCAAACUGGAAAAUUCUGAAAUUUGAGGAGGGUUUAAAUGUUAUAUUUUUAAAUGUAAAAAAAGCAAACAAAUAAACAAAUAAAAAAAAAACAAAUAAAUGCAGACUCAAGUUACAGAAGGGAAGUAUGGAAAAAAGAUUAACAUGGUGUUUACAGGCUUCAUCAGAUGACCAGUCACCACCUCCAUGACUUGUUUGUUAGUUGUAAAUUUAGCAAAAAAAGUAAUUGAAUUUGAAUUGGUAGAUUAUUUCUUCUUGGAAAUAAAUCUUAUACCACUGGAAUGUCUGUUCAUUUUCCCUUUGAAUGGUGCCACAUUUGUAAGGAACAUGCUGUGACAUGAGCAGUAAAGCUGAUAAAGGCUGCCCAAUCCUUUCUGCCAAACAACUUACGUAUUCUGCUGCUGUUAUUGAUUUUUGUUUUGAGUUUCUGAUACCCCAGAAGCAGCCAGUCAGGUGCCCCGUUUAUUGUAUUUUCUUUUGUUUAUUAAUAUUUAUCGCCAAGAAGCAUAUACAAAAAAAAAAAAAA